UACGUAGGGGGCAAGCGUUGUCCGGAUUUAUUGGGCGUAAAGCGCGUGUAGGCGGCUUGGCAAGUCCGCUGUGAAGACUCGAGGCUCAACCUCGAGAUGUCGGUGGAAACUGCCUGGCUAGAGUCCGGAAGAGGAGUGUGGAAUUCCUGGUGUAGCGGUGAAAUGCGCAGAUAUCAGGAGGAACACCGAUGGCGAAGGCAGGUCUCUGGGCCACUACUGACGCUGAGAAGCGAAAGCAUGGGGAGCGAACAGG
rnacentral:rRNA from 1 species